UUCCCCAAUCUGACCCUAAAUCUAACACCCCAAACUCCAGCCGCCUCUGCCUUGCCUAUGCCGAUCAAGACUAGCCGGAAUCGGAUGAGUCACACACCCAAACUCGCCUCAAUGGUCCCCCAUGGUCCCCCCUCUCCUCUCCUCUCCUUCUUCCACGUCACACACUCCGUACAAGCCUCAUCAUAUCCCUGAGAUUCACGCAUUUUCCUUUCUUUUUCGUUCGAUUAGAAACAAAUCCGAGACCCUUGAAUAAAUCUUGGAGAAAUGGGAACCGUUGGAUGAAUAUUUUUGUCCAAAGUCUUCCGAUUUUUGUUUGUGAAAGGGAUUUUCGGAAUUGAUUUGAGGGCAAAUUCGGGUUUUUGGGCGAGUUUUCUUGGAGAGGAAGGAAGGAGAAGCUUCGAGGGCUUCCUAUAUAUUUGGGUCGUAGACAGAAAUUUAGGGGAGGGGGGUAUUGGAGAAGAAAUUAGGGUUUGGAAAAAUCAUCAAUCUUCUUCUCUGACUCUCGACUUCUUGGAACAAUCAGAAAAAUACAAACAAAAGCAAAUUCUGUUUAGCCCUUUCAUCUUUGGAUUUCAGUUUUUUUUCUUUUUUUUUUCCAGAUAUUUAGUUUAAUUUAAAUCUCAGAAAAACACAAAAAAAAUAUAGUUCACUUUCUCCUCUGGAAUUCUAAUUUUGAUUUAAGCAUGGAGCGUGAUUGAGUCCCGCUGGCGUUAGAAUUUUGGAGUCGCCGAUCGAGGUCCGUCCGUGGCUGCUGAUCCUGUUUUCUUAGUUGUUGUUCCUCGCUGCUGGGUUCUCUUGUACUUUGCUCCUGGGAUUAAUUGAAGUUGUACAAAUUCAGGUUUAUUAAUCUUCACAUGGUAUCAGAGCCAUGAGCAUUAGAUAGAUCUUGACGAGAGGAGUCGAUCGAUCUUACCCUCACCAUUUGAAUCAAAGGUUUUGCUGGCUCGCCAUUUUUUUGCGACUGGUCUACGACAACAAUAUUUUGGUUUUUGCUGAAAAUUUGAUUCUCAGUGAGUAUUUCUCUUUUUUGCCGAAGAUUAUUUGGAGUUGGUUUGGAAGAGUUUUUUUUUUUUGGUGACACAAAACCCUAGACAUUUUCUUUUGCAUCUAAGUGUUCAUGUGCCUUCCUAAAAUGGUGAAUAUCGAAAUUCCUGUGAGUGCUGGUUCUAGUGAUACUUCUACAUACAUUCCUGACCCCACAAGUCCUUUAUUUCUCCAUUCGUCUGAUAUACCUGGGAUGUGUUUAGUGAGCACUCCAUUCUCUGGGUCGGGGUAUGGAGGAUGGAGAAAAAGCAUGAUAGUGUCUCUUUCUCCUAAGAAUAAAAUACGAUUUGUCGAUGGAUCAUGUCCUAGGCCAGUUACCACUGAUGUUGCAAAGCUGCGUCAAUGGGAUAGAUGCAAUAAUAUGGUGAUUUCGUGGCUAACCAGCUCACUUUCACCAAUCAUAGCUGAGAGUGUCCAGUACUUAGGUACAACUGAGAGUAUUUGGAAUCAAUUGGAGCGUAGGUAUGGGGCUGUAAAUGAUACUAAGGUGUUUGAAAUAAAGAAGGAAUUGGCCUCCACACAACAAGGUUCCCUUGAUAUUGCGUCAUAUUUCAAUAAACUAAAGAAGCUCUGGGAUGAGUUGGGUACAAUGCGUAAGAACCAUGGAAAUCGUUGCAUGUGUGCUGCAAGAGAUGGUAUUCAAAAGGAUUGAGGAGGAGGAUAAGCUUCAUCAUUUUCUUAUUUGCCUAAAUGAAAUAUAUGUGGGAGUGAGAAGUAAUUUGCUAAUGAUGCAACCUCCUCCCACACUUGAUAGUGCAUACAACAUUCUGCUUCAAGAUAAAAAUCAGAGGCAACUUCAAUACACUCCCCAGCUAGUUCCUGAAGCUGCUUCUUUUAAUGUGAAUGCCAACAAUAAGACAUUCCCUCCAAUGCAAUAUACUCUGAAAGUGGACUUUGAUCAGUCCAGGGGAAAUAUUUUUUUUUUCAAAUAUUGUAUAAAACCUUGACACCUAAUCGACAAUUGCUACAAGUUACAUGGAUUUCCACAGAGUUUCACAUUCAAUAAAGGGAAAAGGAUGGUUGCUCAUGUGACUGCUGAGACUGAGUAUCCUGCAACAACCUACACUCUACCUUAGUACAACUCACCUCAACUUUACACAGCUUCUGACCAUGAGGAACAUGCCUCUUCAGUACCUGGAUUAACCAAGCAGCAGUAUGCACAACUUAUGUCUCUCCUGCAACAGACUCAAGUUUCUUCAGCUACUGAUUCUCAAACUAACCUCAUGUGAUCUUCCAACUUUGCUGGUAGUACUUUCUCUCUGCCUGUUUGUAUUAAUGAUUAUUCUCAUGUUUGCUUACUGUCUGGUGCUAGUAGAAAUAUUUGGAUUUUAGAUAGUGGAGCUACUAACGAUAUGACCUCAAACAAAAAUAUACUUUCUAAUCUUACUCCACUUCCCACUGCUUACUAGGUAACUUUUCGCAAUGGUUAUAAAGCAAAAGUUACUUAUACUGGUUCUGUUACCUUGUUCCCUUCUUUCACUCUUCAUAGAGUCUUAUACAUUCCUAGUUUUCAAAAUAAUUUAGUCCCAGUUUACAAGUUGAUUCAACAAUUUAACUGCAUGAUCUUGUUUACUUCCUCUUCAUGCCUUUUAAUACAGGCCCAUUUCAUGAGGAAGCUUCUGGAUCUUGGUAGACAAGACCAAGGCCUCACAAGCUCCUUCAUUCCAAUGAGUCUGAUUCUAGUCCUAGUUGUCCUAAUUAUGUUUUCAAUAAAGAUGUGCAAUGUAUGAAUAGUGGUGAUAGGUUCUUUGCCAAUGCUAAACAAUCUAUUUCUGCAUUGAAUUGUGUUCCUCUAGUUUCCAGUAAUGAUGUACCUAGUAUAAACAUACAUGAUGUACUUUGGCAUCAUGGGCUGGUACAUAUUCCAUUUGCUAGAAUGAAAAGUAUUUCUUUCAUUUCUACUCAACUAUAUUCUAAAUAAUCUUUUGUGUGUCCCAUUUGUCCACUAGCAAGGCAGGCAAGGCUGUCAUUACCCCAAAGUAACUCAGUUUCCAAGUGCUUGUCUGAACUCAUUCAUGUUGACACCUGGGGACCAUAUAGUACUAACACAUACUCUGAUGCAAAGUAUUUUUUGACCAUUGUGGACGAUCAUAGCAGGGAAACCUCGACUCAUCUAAUGCACUCCAAAAGUAAUGCUUUCAAUUUGCUAAAAGCCUUUAUCUCCAUGAUCAGAACCCAAUUUAAUCUUCCAUUCAAAAUCAUUAGGAGUCAUAAUGCCUUAGAAAUCGGCCUUUCUACUUCUGCCGUACAAUAUUUUUCAGAUAAUGGGAUCAUGCACCACACAACUUGUUCUCAUACACCUCAACAGAAUAGCACUGUUGAAAGAAAACAUAAACGCUUGAUAGAGACAACAAGAGCUUUAUUGUUUCAGUCCAAACUACCUACCAAAUUCUGGGGGGAUUGCAUCCUAAUUGCCACACAUAUAAUGAAUAGGUUUCCAUCCACUGUUUUUCAUAAUAAAACCCCUUCUGAAAUAUUAUAUGGGAAGGUUCCCUCUUAUUCCCACUUAAAGCCUUUUGGUUGCCUCUGUUAUGCCACUGUCCCUAAAUGUAAUAGGGAUAAAUUUGACCCAAGAGCUAUACCUUGUGUCUUUCUUGGUUAUCCAUUGGUAAGAAGGGAUAAAAGCUAUAUAAUCUGUCUACUAAAUCUGUGUUGGUCUCCAGAGAUUUCAUCUUUCAUGAAUCUAUAUUCCCUUACUCCCUUCCAUCAUCUUCUCCUUGUCAGUUUCCCACUUUCAUUUCUGAUGAUACCUUUCCUUCUCCUUCCCCUGCCCUUUCUCCUACUUUCUCCUCUUCUCUACCUGCUUCCAUUAUCACUGAUUCUCGUGUUCCUGAUGAUGUUUUGCCUAUUCCUCCUAAUUCUUCUACUAUUUCAGCACCUAUUCCUAACCAUGUAGCUACUGCCCCUUGAGGUGAUCCAAUUUAGUCUUUUCAGCUUAGGAGAAGCAGUAGGAAUCACACUCUUCCAUCACACCUCAAUUAUUUUGCUGUUCAGCUUCCUCCUUCACUCUUUAACUCCACUACUACAUCCCUUUCUGCUGCCCACACGGUUUCUUUUGAGCCUCAUUCUUAUAUUCAGGCUAUUUCCAGCCCUGCUUGCCAAGAAGCCAUGAGGAAGGAGUUUCAGGCUCUUGAAGCUGAUGGCACUUGGACAAUAGUUGAAUUACCUCAAGGGAAGAAAGCUAUAGGGUGCAAAUGGGUCUAUAAGAUUAAGUAUAAAGCUGAUGGUAGUGUGGAGAGGUACAAGGCAAGGUUGGUUGUAAGGGGUGAUACACAAGUAGAGGGUGUUGACUUUCAUGAGACAUUUUCCCCGGUGGUUAAAAUAUGCACCAUUAGGUGUUUAAUUGUUGUUGCUGUUAAGAGGAAUUGGUCUCUUUUUCAAUUACAUUUCAACAUGUGUUCUUUCAUGGUGACUUAGAUGAGGAAGUGUACAUGAAACUUCCCCCCUGGACUAACAGUUGCUUCUACCUUAAAUUCUUUUUCUACUCUUGUUUGUAAGCUUCAAAACUCUCUCUAUGGAUUGAGGCAAGCCUCCCGACAAUGUAUGCGAAGCUAUCUCAAGCUCUUUACACUAGAGGAUACACCCAUUCUUUGAAUGAUUACUCUCUCUUCUUGAAGAAAUCAACUUCAUCCACUGUCUUGCUUGCUGUUUAUGUUGAUGAUAAUUCUUAUUGGUGAUGAUCUUGUUGAGAUAGCUGCUCUCAAACAAUUCCUAGAUGACCAAUUUAAAAUCAAGGAUUUAGGUUUGCCCAAUUAUUUUCUGGGUAUUGAAAUAUUGUAUGAUGCGUUUGGGGUUCUUCUUUACCAAAAGAAGUUUACUUCUGAUUUGAUUUCUGAGUUUGGGUGCAGUGAUGCUUCAGCAGUAGUCUCUCCUCUUAAGUUGUGUGUCAAGUUGACAUCUAAUCAGGUUGAAGUGUUGCCUAAUCCUCAGUCUUAUAGAAGCCUCAUUGAAAAGUUGAAUUUUCUCACCCACACUCGACCAGACUUGUGUUUUGUUGUCCAAUAUUUAAGUCAAUUCCUCGAGUCUCCUCGCAUUCCUCAUAUGGCUGCUACAGUGCAUAUCCUGAGGUUUUGAAUGUCACACUUGAUGUAGGGGUGUUUUCUUAAUGCUUCAUCAGAUUUUUCGCUUAAGGCUUUUUUUGAUAGUGAUUGGGAAGCUUGCUCUGAGUCCCGCAGGUCAGUUUCUGGUUUUGCAUAUCAUUGGGAGGCAGCCUUAUUAGCUGAAAAUAGAAGAAGCAAGCUAUUGUUUCUUUAUCAUCAGCAGAAGCUGAAUAUCGAGCCAUGAGUAAAGUUGUGGGUGAACUUGUUUGGUUAGUUCGUUUUCUUGUUGAUUUAGAGUUGCCUAUUUCUACCCUAGUUCCUAUUUUCUGUGAUAACUUAGCUGCACUUCACAUAGCUAAAAACCCAGUCUUUCACGAGCGAACAAAGCAUAUUGAGGUCGACUAUCAUUUCAUCCGGACCAAGUUGGUUGAUGGUCUCGUUUCUUUGCAUCAUGUUGUUACAUCUCCUCAAUUGGCUGACAUUUUUUCUAAGUGUUUAACAGGUGGAUAUCAUCGCUUCUUACUUGGCAAGUUGGGUGUGGUAUCACUCUCCAACUUGCGCGCGCGCGACGGGGGGAGGGGUGUUGGCAUUACAUGAUCUUGGUUACAACCCACUUAUUAGUUGAUUUUAUUAGAUACAUUUAGUCCAGAUCUGACCCAAAGUUUGGCCCACGUGUAUUUAUAAGUUUUUCGGUUUACAGCCCAUGUAAAGAGGGUAGUGUGUUUACAAUUUUGCCCCCAAGUAUAAAUAUAGGUUUCUAGAAGUCUCUGAAUAGUUUUUUACACUCAUAAUGAAAAUAUCUAUUUUUCUCUGAGCUCUCUUCUUUCCACUUGUCUGAAACCCUAACCAAAUACACAUACGUUGUAGCUGGUUUGUAAUCUUCACAAGAUCUUUGUUCCAAAUCUUAGCUAGUAAAGGGCCCUUGAGCAUUGAGGGUCCAGAUGGCCUGAUCCUUUAUGUUGGGUUGUCCAAUAUAGACAUGUGUGACUUGUUGAAUUACAUAUGGAGAGACUGUCUUGCAACUUCUCCAUGCCCCAUCUUUUGUUAAGGAGGUAUGAUCCUUAACUUUGGUGUUACCAGAUUUUUAGUUUGAAAUUGCAAUUUGCCUGAUUAAACCAGAGGUGAUCCAUCUUCCCACCAAAAUAAGCUGUUGCCUGAGUUUAUUUUUCACAAGAUACAUAUUAUUUUUUAUCUUACCCAUUGUUUCCAAUAGAUUUCUCAGGUGCUUGAGUCUUUGGUGUUGAUAACUUUAGAUAAAGGGUUGGAGAUGUAUUUAACAUGUAGGAACUUGGUUUAAAGAUUGUCUUCAUUUCUGAACAUCCAUCAUCUUUUGGCCACAAAAGAGUUACACAUAUCUUAUAAAUUCUCGAAGCCAACUCCUCGUUCCUCCCCUGGAAAGCUCAUAUUGCUCCAAGAACAUCAGUGAUAGCUUUUUUUUUCUUCCUUUCCUCCCUAGAAAUUGAUUAACCUUUUACUUCUUGUAUUUAUAGCCUGAGAUGUUAUAGGUUCAUCAAGUCAAAUUUUCAUUCUUUCUCCCUCCUACCCACUUCUAAGAUGAACACGAUUCAUGGCUCAAAUGUCUAGUACUUUCGCAUUACUCCAAUGCUGCAUGAUGCCUCGCUAUGUUGUAUGGCAGACGUAACUUUCUUCUCCUCCUUUUCUCCUUUCCCUUUUCGUCUAAAUUGAGAAAAUUGCUUUAUUCUCCUCUAGAACAGAUUGGUGGUUGUUCUUCAGGAACUUAGAACAUAAAUUCAAGGCUAUUGUAGUUAGUUUAUUCUAAUAAAGCCAUGGAAUUGUGGUAUAGAUUCAUCACCGAGUUGUAUGCCUAAAUUAAGUCAUAAGACUUAGGAGGGCAUGAAUUCAACCAAAUAAUGAUUCUAUUUGUUGUCUCAUCCUUUUAGAAGGUAUCAGAUUUCAGAGACAGUGUGCCAUCAUCUAAUAGGUCAUGAUCUUCAAAUGGAUGCGACAAAGCGGAUCACAUGAGUGCACAUUACGACAUUUAAUCCAACAGUGAUGUCGUCGUCGUAUCUCUAGUUUCUUGUAGUAUGUGAUAACAUUUAGAGGUGGACCUACAUGGAGAGUAGUGGGACCAUCGGAACCUGUUAUCCUGAAUAUAAACUAUGUAUGCAUAUUUUUAUAUACAACAAGGACCUUUAAACUAUUUUGAUGUUCCCCCUCAAACACAAAAUAUGGAUUGCUACGCUGGUUUAGUAUGUCGUAUCUAUCCCCUCUCACCUACAUGACUUGGGUUUGAGACCAAACACUAGUGCUUUUUUCAUUUUAUUCUUUUUCCUCAAUAGUAUCCUGUAUUUAGUGCUCAA